rnacentral:rRNA from 1 species
AGUGAACGCUGGCGGUAGGCCUAACACAUGCAAGUCGAACGGCAGCACAGUAAGAGCUUGCUCUUACGGGUGGCGAGUGGCGGACGGGUGAGGAAUACAUCGGAAUCUACUUUUUCGUGGGGGAUAACGUAGGGAAACUUACGCUAAUACCGCAUACGACCUACGGGUGAAAGCAGGGGAUCUUCGGACCUUGCGCGAUUGAAUGAGCCGAUGUCGGAUUAGCUAGUUGGCGGGGUAAAGGCCCACCAAGGCGACGAUCCGUAGCUGGUCUGAGAGGAUGAUCAGCCACACUGGAACUGAGAAACGGUCCAGACUCCUACGGGAGGAAGCAGUGGGGAAUAUUGGACAAUGGGCGCAAGCCUGAUCCAGCCAUACCGCGUGGGUGAAGAAGGCCUUCGGGUUGUAAAGCCCUUUUGUUGGGAAAGAAAAGCAGCAGGUUAAUACCCCGCUGUUCUGACGGUACCCAAAGAAUAAGCACCGGCUAACUUCGU